GACGAACGCUGGCGGCGUGCUUAACACAUGCAAGUCGAACGAUGAAGCCUAGCUUGCUAGGUGGAUUAGUGGCGAACGGGUGAGUAAUACGUGAGUGACCUACCUUUGACUCUGGGAUAAGCCUGGGAAACUGGGUCUAAUACCGGAUACGACCAAUCUCCGCAUGGGGUGUUGGUGGAAAGCGUUAUGGAGUGGUUUUAGAUGGGCUCUCGGCCUAUCAGCUUGUUGGUGAGGUAAUGGCUUACCAAGGCGACGACGGGUAGCCGGCCUGAGAGGGUGACCGGCCACACUGGGACUGAGACACGGCCCAGACUCCUACGGGAGGCAGCAGUGGGGAAUAUUGCACAAUGGGCGCAAGCCUGAUGCAGCGACGCCGCGUGAGGGAUGACGGCCUUCGGGUUGUAAACCUCUGUUAGCAUCGAAGAAGCGAAAGUGACGGUAGGUGCAGAGAAAGCGCCGGCUAACUACGUG
rnacentral:rRNA from 1 species